GUAGAGGUGGUUUGGUGGUUAAGAGCACUAGCUGCUCUUCCAGAGAAUCUGGGUUCAAUUCCCAGCAUAUACA
rfam:Cricetulus griseus cell line CHO-K1, whole genome shotgun sequence.